ACUGGCUGCAGGCAAGAGACGGUGGAGCGGUCAUGGCCGUUGAGUGUGGCUGGGUAGCAUGGCUUGCCAGAGCUGAGGCUGGUACCAAAACACCCGCAGCCACCACAGUGCACCCCAGGAAGGGACCUCUCAGGUCUUCAUGGUAACAUAGCCCUUCCUUGUUCUGUGGUAUUGAGGGGUGAGCCAGGUCCUUGCUAUCCCAAACAGCUUGGCUCCUUUCAAAACUUUCAUUCUGAGCUAUGGACCUCCAUACAUGGCAAAAACUGGCUUUGAACUUACAAUCCUCCUGCCUCUGCCCCCAGAAUGCUGUUUGCCUGUCCAACACCUGUCUGGCCUGUCUCCUGCCUACCUGUCACCUCUCUUGCCUAUUGGUUUCUGCCAGAUGUUUGUCUGCCAUUUGUUUUGCCCGCCUGCCUGUCUGUCUACAGUCUGCCUUCUACCUGUCUACCAGCCUAUCCUUGUUUUGUAGCCACAAAUGGAAAGGGACCUCCAGGCCUGUUGCUAAGGUAGGACCUGCAAAUUCUGCCACCUGACACUCUGUUCUGGUUUGUAACCGGAUCCCCAUUUUACAGAUGGGGUUACCGACCCUUGGCCGGAAUCGUUGCCUCUUUGUGGUCUCCGGGGCAGGUGGGCCAUCCUGCCUGAAGCCACGUGUUCUGAAAUAAAUGUCACCCACAGGACCCCAGCAGCCCUGCAUACGGGCCCUGUGACUUCAGGUAACUCUCCAAGCCUCUCUUGUUUCUAGCUCUGCAAAGUUCAGGCUCCACCCUGCCAUGACGUCACCUAUGAACACAAGACUGGCCCAGGCCUGUGCUAGGAAAGAUUCCGAGGAACAGCAUGGAGUCUCUAGGGAGCUGCACAAAUCUCUGAUGGACAUUUUCCCAAAGUCCUGUAUUUUCAAAUGAAUUCUACAGCAAGGUUGGACACUGAGAACCACAGGAACCCUGUGUCACAGCACUAGCCCUCAGCACAUGGGCAGUGUGGGGAGGAGCUCAGGACACCAGGAACACCCACAGAAGAGAAAGAACCACACUGAGGCUGCGGGGUCUGGAGUCUCACAGG